GAACCCAUGCCGACUUACCCUACAGUCUUU
rnacentral:piRNA from 1 species